rnacentral:rRNA from 1 species
AUUGCACGCUGGCGGCAGGCCUAACACAUGCAAGUCGAACGAGUGGCGGACGGGUGCGUAAUGUCUGGGAAACUGCCCGAUGGAGGGGGAUAACUACUGGAAACGGUAGCUAAUCCCGCAUACCAUCGGGUGUGCCCCGAUGGGAUUAGCUAGUAGGUGGGUUAAUGGCUCACCUAGGCGACGAUCCCUAGCUGGUCUGAGAGGAUGACCAGCAACACUUGAACUGAGAUACGGUCCAGACUCCUACGGGAGGCAGCAGUGGGGAAUAUUGCACAAUGGGCGCAAGCCUGAUGCAGCCAUGCCGCGUGUAUGAAGAAGGCAUUAGGGUUGUAAAGUACUUUCAGCGAGGAGGCGUUACUCGCAGAAGAAGCACCGGCUAACUCCGUGCCAGCCGCCGCGGUAAUAC